ensembl:lncRNA
GAGUCCCACCCGGGGUCCUUAGAAACAGGACGGGCCGCGCCCGAGUCCCACCUGGGGUCCUUAGAAACAGGGCUUGGCCUGCUUUCACCCACCCUAGUGCUCACCCCCUGGAGGACUGGCUGGCCCUGUGUCACCUACUGAGCACGCAGGACAGUCUGAACAGCAGGGAGGAAGGGCUCCAGAGCGGCCUCGGGAGGACUUCCUGGGUGGGGCUCACCUGCUUUCACAGAAGCAGCGUUUACCAGCCCCUCCUGCCCGCCAGGGUUACCCAGGGAGCAACGGGGGACGUGAGACCGAAGCCCAUGCCCCUGGCACACAUGGCUCCUGGCACACAUGAGCUCCCGGAGGCCAGAUGGCGCCCACACCUUUGGGUCACAGCAACCCGGAGUGGGAGGAUGGGGUGGGGCAGCACUGGCCUGGCCAUGCCCCCUGGCAGCCACCUUGCCCUCACACGCCCCCUCAGCAGCCUGCCUUGGAAUCAGGUCCCCAAGUUUAAAUCAUCACAAGAUGAUUUACUUACUCAUCGCUGCAAGAGCUGGGCAGAGGUCAGCGAGCAAAGAGGGAGCUUCCGGCCUUUCCCAGGACCCUGUUCCUCCCACCGAGGAAUUGCCAAGGGGCCAGUUCCCACACGCACACCCAGCCACCCAGGCUGAGAUGAGCCACCAGGGUGCCAGAGCCAGGGACUGAGGGUGGCAUGGCCUCUCUAAGCUCCAAGACGGGCAGAGCUACGCUGCUUGUGGCCUCAGGCUGGCGUGGGCGUGGCGGGGGCACAGCCAGGGUUCUGACACAUGCCCACCCCCAUCUCAGCCCUGUCUGCUGC